UUUAAUUUUUUUACGUAAUCGUGUAAAAUAACGAUAUAUUCUAAAACGAUUUAAAAUAUUUGUUGUUAUUUAAAAAAAGUAUAAGUUGUAGAAACUUGAAACUUUCACUAAUAGUUGAGAAAAAUAAAUUAUAAUUUAAAUAUAGGUAAUAAUAUAAUAUAAUAUCCUUGACUGAAAAAUCAUCUCCAUUCAGAAUCGUAUUUCGUAUACAAUGAUACCUGUCCCAAACAAUAAUGACCGAUUUUUAACAAAUCUCAUUAAACGCAUUUAAAAUGCAAUUUCUCAAUACCGAACAAAAAAAGGUUUUAUUUUCAUCAUUUUUGGCGAAAAAUCCAAACUAUUUUCGAAAUGAUAGAAAUAUUCAAAACAAACUCGGAAUUUUCAUUGCAAGUCCAUUACUUGUCUGCUUUGGCUUUUGUCCCGGAAAAUGACGGAAAGUACGUAUUACAUUGAUAAUGAACUAAUGAAGAUGUCUUAGAAUCACUUAUUUCCUAUUUCAUGGAUACAUGGAUUGGUAGUCCAAAUACUGCAGGGCCGUCCCGAGUUGGCACAUUAAUGCAUCUCACCCCCCUUUAUUAUUUUGUUCGGGACGGCCCUGCCAAACAGACGUAAUAAGAGAAACCUCAGGUUUCCUAUUUCACUGUGUAACUGCUAUACGUCUACUGUAUCUGGUUUACCUAGGACAAACAAUCAUGUUGAAAGGUGGUAUAAAGCAGUAGUUUUCAACCUUUUUAAUCAUGCGGCACACUUCAUUUCCAACAAAAUUUUCGCGGCACACCAAUCCAUAUAAUAUGUGAAGCAUAUUUUAUAUAUAUACCUAUAUAUACAUAUAAAUAUUGAAUACAUACUAAUAAAACUAUUAACAGAUUUUUCGCGGCACACUUCAAGAGCGCUCACGGCACACCGGUUAAAAACCACUGGCAUAAAGGCUUCUAUAAUUUAUUGAGUUCAUGUCAUCCAACAAUAUGGAAAUUUACUGAAGCAAUACAAAAAUAACAGUUGAAACAAAAAGAAAAUAAAUCGGUAUACAACCGGUCAUGCCGUCAAGAAAAUGCAAAAGGAAUACAGUUAAACAAUUAGUAAAUUCACUGUAUUAUUAAGCAUAAAGGAGUUAAGCGGAUUCUUCAAAAAGCAAAAUUUGCUAUGUUAUGUGUUUGUAAGACAAUACUUUCAUUCAUGUGUGUAUAACAUCUUAAACUAUGGGUGAUAUCUUAAUAGUAUGCUUCAAUGUUUUCCAGUCUGAUAUUAAUACCUCAUGGAUUAUGAAUUCACUGAAUAUUUUUAUGAAAUAAAGACUUACUAAGUAUGAGUAUCAAUUAAUGUGUGCAGUUACCAGGAAGACAAUAUUUUAUUAAUUAUUAUACUUAUUUAUUCUACUUUUUGAUUUUGAAACUAUUUUGCCUAUCAGAGUGCUAUGUUAUUAAUAUGUAGAUAACAUAUGAUUUGUAUUAUAUGCAUUGAUAUGUGGCAUUUGAUUAUUGGUGUGCUUUACCUAUUAUAAUUUUUAAUGUUACGCUUAUGAUAGUACAUAAAAAUGUUUAUUUGUAAUUUUAAUGAUUUUCUUAUAAGGAUUUGUGAUGAUCAUGUUUGCCUAGUCGUUCUUCAUCCAAUGCACAUUUAAUUACACACUAUGGCUUAAUACAUUCAGACUUAAAACAUCCACUGUGUACACCCUCAUAUAGAUAACUAGUACCCUAGGUUCCUAGAUGUCUUACAACACUUGCUACAGUGAUUUAUACAAUUUCAAAAGAUGUCUCAUGAUUCUCAGUAUUUAACCUAAUUGUUUAAAAUAUCUAGCUAGGUACAAAAAAAGCUAAAGAUCACCAAAUUAUUUUAAAUCCAGUUAUAUCAUAUGAAAGUUGCAUAUUAUAUUAAACACUAAUAAUGCAUUUAAUAGGCAUUUUGUUCUUCAGUCAGUUAAUUUACUCUACUUACCUAUAUCUCAAAUAUUGAUAAUAUAAUAUAUUUAAAAAAAUGUAGAACUAUUGGUUUUAUUUAAUUCAUCAAUU